AUUGAACGCUGGCGGAAUGCUUUACACAUGCAAGUCGAACGGCAGCACGGGGGCAACCCUGGUGGCGAGUGGCGAACGGGUGAGUAAUACAUCGGAACGUGCCCGGUCGUGGGGGAUAACGUAGCGAAAGUUACGCUAAUACCGCAUACGAUCUGAGGUUGAAAGCGGGGGAGCUUCGGGCCUCGCGCGAUCGGAGCGGCCGAUGUCAGAAUAGGGAGUUGGUGCGGUAAAGGCCUAGCAAGCCUACUAUGUGUAGCUGGUCUGAGAGGACGGCCAGCCACACGGGGUCUGAGACACGGCCCAGACUCCUGCGGGAGGCAGCAGUGGGGAAUUCUGGGCAAUGGGGGCAAGCCGGAUCCAGCACUACCGCGUGAAGGCCGAACGCGUUCGGGUUGUAAACUGCUUUUGUAUGGAGCGAAAAGGAUCUGGCUAAUCCCUGGGGCUCAUGACGGUACCGUAAGAAUAAGCACCGGCUAACUCCGUG
rnacentral:rRNA from 1 species